rnacentral:rRNA from 1 species
CUGCUCAGGACGAACGCUGGCGGCGUGCCUAAUACAUGCAAGUAGAACGCUGAGAACUGGUGCUUGCACCGGUUCAAGGAGUUGCGAACGGGUGAGUAACGCGUAGGUAACCUACCUCAUAGCGGGGGAUAACUAUUGGAAACGAUAGCUAAUACCGCAUAAGAGAGACUAACGCAUGUUAGUAAUUUAAAAGGGGCAAUUGCUCCACUAUGAGAUGGACCUGCGUUGUAUUAGCUAGUUGGUGAGGUAAAGGCUCACCAAGGCGACGAUACAUAGCCGACCUGAGAGGGUGAUCGGCCACACUGGGACUGAGACACGGCCCAGACUCCUACGGGAGGCAGCAGUAGGGAAUCUUCGGCAAUGGGGGCAACCCUGACCGAGCAACGCCGCGUGAGUGAAGAAGGUUUUCGGAUCGUAAAGCUCUGUUGUUAGAGAAGAAUGAUGGUGGGAGUGGAAAAUCCACCAAGUGACGGUAACUAACCAGAAAGGGACGGCUAACUACGUGCCAGCAGCCGCGGUAAUACGUAGGUCCCGAGCGUUGUCCGGAUUUAUUGGGCGUAAAGCGAGCGCAGGCGGUUUUUUAAGUCUGAAGUUAAAGGCAUUGGCUCAACCAAUGUACGCUUUGGAAACUGGAGAACUUGAGUGCAGAAGGGGAGAGUGGAAUUCCAUGUGUAGCGGUGAAAUGCGUAGAUAUAUGGAGGAACACCGGUGGCGAAAGCGGCUCUCUGGUCUGUAACUGACGCU